rnacentral:rRNA from 1 species
UUCAUUUAGGGCGAUGAUGAGCGGCCGCGAUUCGCCCUUAGAGUUGAUCCUGGCUCAGAGCGAACGCUGGCGGCGUGCUUAACACAUGCGGUCGAACGUGAAAGGGAGCAAUCCCCGGUAAAGUGGCGUACGGGUGAAUAACGCGUAGGUAAUCUACCCCGAAAUUUGGAGUAACCUGCCGAAAGGCGGGCUAAUACUGGAUAGAGCGACGGAAUCCGUAAUUGGGUCUUUCGGGAAAGGGAGGCAGUAAUGCCCCUCGUUUUGGGAAGAAGCCUGCGUCUCAUUAGCUAGUUGGUGGGGGUAAAGGCCCCCCCAGGCUUUGAUGGGUAGCUGGGCUGAAAGGAUGAUCACCACCACUGGAACUGAAACCCGGUCCAAACUUCUUCGGGAGGCAGCAUGGGGGAAUCUUGCUCAAUGGAACAAAAAGUCUGACCCACAACCCCCGCUUGAAUAAAAAGGCUCUCGGGUGGAAACCCCUCCAACCAACCAAAAAUUAUUUGGUAAUGCCGUAAUUUACGACCGUUAAAGAAGCCCCGUUACCCCUGUGCACCGCCGUGUAUGCAAAGGGCGCACCUUCCUCGUAUUUGGGCCAAAGGUACUGGUGUUCUUGUCGGGGUAAAUCUGAGCUACCAAAGUCCUCAAACGGAACUAAUUCUGAAGGUCGGAUUCCGUGACCUUAAUCGUAAUUCGAGCAUCGCAUCGAGGUGUACUAGCCGUGUAACUGGAUUAGUGUUGAGCACCGAUGAUUCUGACUACGCUGACGAGUUCAUGGUGGGG